rnacentral:rRNA from 1 species
GACGAACGCUGGCGGCGUGCUUAACACAUGCAAGUCGAACGGUAAGGCCUCUUCGGGGGUACACGAGUGGCGAACGGGGGAGUAACACGUGAGUAACCUGCCCUUGACUUUGGGAUAACAUCUGGAAACAGGUGCUAAUACCGGAUAUGAGCCUUUUCCGCAUGGGGAGGGUUGGAAAGCUCCGGCGGUCAUGGAUGGACUCGCGGCCUAUCAGCUUGUUGGUGAGGUAGUGGCCCACCAAGGCUCCGACGGGUAGCCGGCCUGAGAGGGCGAGCGGCAACAGUUGGACUGAGCUACGGCCCAAACUCCGACGGGAGGCGGCAGUGGGGAAUAUUGCACAAUGGGGGGAAGCCUGAUGCGGCAACGCCGCGUGCGGGAUGACGGCCUUCGGGUUGUAAACCGCUUUCAGCAGGGACGAAGCUAACGUGACGGUACCUGCAGAGGAAGCACCGGCUAACUACGUGCCAGCCGCCGCCGUAAUAC